UACGUAGGGUCCGAGCGUUGUCCGGAAUUACUGGGCGUAAAGAGCUCGUAGGUGGUUUGUCGCGUUGUUCGUGAAAACUCACAGCUCAACUGUGGGCGUGCGGGCGAUACGGGCAGACUGGAGUACUGCAGGGGAGACUGGAAUUCCUGGUGUAGCGGUGAAAUGCGCAGAUAUCAGGAGGAACACCGGUGGCGAAGGCGGGUCUCUGGGCCGAUACUGACGCUGAGGAGCGAAAGAGUGGGGAGCGAACAGG
rnacentral:rRNA from 1 species